UAGAGGGACACUGCACAAGGAAGGGGCUUUUCUGGUUCCAGCUCUGUUCUUAGAAAACACUGAGCUGCUUCCUUGCCAACCAGCAGCUCCCUUGGUAGGGGCAUGCAGAAGACCUGAUGACACAAACCCUCCAAAGAGUUUCACCCUCACCAUAACAGGUGGCUUCCUGCUCGGCAGCCCAUCCUGCAUCACUUCAGUGGACUUCUCUGACAUCUACUAGACCACAUUAAAUGAAUCACAGCCUUGAAACUGAACUGGAAGGACUUCCUUCAAGAUUUUUAUCUAAUUCCUGUUGGACAGUGUAAAAUGCCACUUCUUCCAGGGUUGUCUGCAUAUCAUCAAAAGGGAAAUAGUACUCAUCGAAGAUGUGCCUUUGCUAGGAACUAGGACAAGGGUGGUCUUUAUAAAUUCAUGAAGAGAAGGAGCCAGCAUAUGAACUUGCUGCCUAUCUUUAGCAAGGAGAUGCAAAUGACAUCCACACACCUCUUCUGCUGUAUACCUGGAUGAAAGCAAGGCUAGCUGUGUGUCCUAUGGCACCAAGGACUGAAAGAUUGUAAGAAGUAAGAGUCCAUCAUAGAGGCCAAGCCAAAUACAGCUAUGUUUGCAAGCAUAAGAUGGAUAGAUGUGGUAAACCACAAGAAG